UACGUAGGGGGCGAGCGUUGUCCGGAUUUAUUGGGCGUAAAGAGCGUGUAGGCGGCCAGGUAGGUCUGCUGUGAAAACUCGAGGCUCAACCUCGAGACGUCGGCGGAAACCAUCUGGCUAGAGUCCGGAAGAGGAGAGUGGAAUUCCUGGUGUAGCGGUGAAAUGCGCAGAUAUCAGGAAGAACACCGACGGCGAAGGCAGCUCGCUGGGACGGUACUGACGCUGAGGCGCGAAAGCGUGGGGAGCGAACAGG
rnacentral:rRNA from 1 species